rnacentral:rRNA from 1 species
ACAGCAGUCGCCGCGGGAAUACGGAGGGUGCAAGCGUUAUCCGGAUUUAUUGGGUUUAAAGGGUCCGUAGGCGGAUCUGUAAGUCAGUGGUGAAAUCUCACAGCUUAACUGUGAAACUGCCAUUGAUACUGCAGGUCUUGAGUAAAUUUGAAGUGGCUGGAAUAAGUAGUGUAGCGGUGAAAUGCAUAGAUAUUACUUAGAACACCAAUUGCGAAGGCAGGUCACUAAGAUUUAACUGACGCUGAUGGACGAAAGCGUGGGGAGCGAACAGGAUUAGAUACCCCAGUAGUCCCUGUCUCUUAUAC